GCCCUACGGAGCCGUCUGGGAGGGGAUUACCAGCCUGAUCCCCCGUCUUUAGAGCCAGAAAUGACUCAAACUUCAACAGCAAGGGCCUGCCAGGGAGGGUGACAAUGAGCACUGGAGAGGGUUUUCUCCCCCUCGCUGGUGUCUCUUCCCCCUUCUUGCUGCUGCGGCAGAUUCUGGACAGUGUACAGCCUGUGAGGUAAUAUGAAUUCCUUGGCAACCAGCAAGUACCUGAAUUCUUUCAAAACCACAGGAAUCCAGCAGAGAAAAGUGAAAAUUUGGCUAUUGGCUCUGUCUCAAAAAAGGUCCAGUCAAAUCAUUUAGACCACAUACUGGAUCCACCUAAAACUGUAAAAUCCAGGACAAAGUCUUUUUGGUUUCCACCUCUGAUAGGAAAAAAAUCUACACCAUUUUGGGGGAGAAUGCCACCCUCUCUGGAAGUCUUGUAUCAAUGCCUGCAUAUAUGUCUGGACAUACACACCGGACCUCCAGAUAACCCUUUGAUUAUUCCCCUGAACGGCUCAUGUAGACCACCUGGCAUCCAUUAACCAGACCACAGCAUGUGACCAGACCUCCUGGGAUCCACCUUCCAGACCACCUGGCAUCUAUCAUCCAGGCCACCUGACAUCUGAAAGAUAACCAUCCUGGACCAGUCCUAGGGCUAAGAAUGCAGGACUGAAAAUUUUCAAGAGUGUACUUUUUACUAUAAGAACUCUUAACUUUUCUUUCUUCUUUGGAACACUCUGGGUUUUUGUCUAGCUGUGUUCCCAGUUUGCAAACU